rnacentral:lncRNA from 1 species
CAUCUUGUAUUCAAGCUAUCACAAAAAUGUCACGGUUUGCAGUGUCCGGUGAAGGUGCGAGGUUUGGUACUAAGGAACACUCAACACCUGCGGUCAAAGGCAUCCAUUUUCAAGCCAUCGGAUUCUGUGCAACAAGUGUCAGUUGAUUAUGAUGAAAUAACACAACUAGAAGAUGAUUAAAAGUUUUUCCCCCUAAGCAAAACCAAUGAAAAGACAUGUCACAUGCUUCCAGCAAAGAUGGUUUUAUACGAGUCUUCUAAUGUGAAGUGUUACAAUUGGAAAUCUCUUGCUGAGCCUGAAUCUAUGUUAACGUACAACUGUUAAUAAAUGUAGAUUUGUAGAAGUGGCUGAGCUUUUAUCACGCCAAGUAUUUCGGAUCAAAUGCAAGAUUGAAACCCAAAACUUGUCGACAGAUACAAAUUAUGCAUGUCAUCUUGUAUUCAAGCUAUCACAAAAAUGUCAUGGUUUGCAGGGUCCGGUGAGGUCUACUCUUUAAGAAAAACAAAGAGUUUAAUUUUUUUUUUCAUUAUUUUAGAUCUCCAAGUUUAGUAAACUUACACGGUAAUGAAAGGGUACCAAAGCUCAGAGAAGAGGGAUUAAUGAAAGUUAUUGUGUGGGAAUUCAACUCAGGUAACGAGUUCAUUGAUAUGCUCAUGUUCCUAUGAAUUUGAAAUUCAUAUGUUAUGAAGGAACCAUGUAUGGUCUUAUUGUAUAUGGCAUUGAAUUUCGACCCAUAUGAGGUUAUAGAAAGAAAAGAACUUUGAUCAUGUAAUGUCCCUAAUAUUUAUUUGUUACCUUGUACAUAACACUUUCAUGAAAGGUAACUUCCCGACUCGGUCUUGAUCGUCUUCCUGUUUUGGUAGGGACUUGAACCCACGACCACCACGUGGUUAAAAUAAAAGCAAUGGUAGGGACUCCAAUAACCCUUGGUUGAGAAACUCAUUUAACUAAAUAAUUCAGUCUGCUUCGUAGCAUUGGUAGUGUUAACUGUGUAAGUUUUAUUAUUGUUGAAUGUUGAGUUUAUAGUUGGUUUUGCAUAUUCGCAAUUGCCCAUGGAUUUGUAUGGAAUGAGUGUUGUUAUAUCGUGACUCGCAUGUAUACAAAAGAUUUUAAUUUCUAUGAAGAUCCUUGCCUCUACAUGAAAACAGGAAGGUUCACUUUU